rnacentral:rRNA from 1 species
AUUGAACGCUGGCGGCAUGCUUUACACAUGCAAGUCGAACGGUAACAGGCCUUCGGGUGCUGACGAGUGGCGAACGGGUGAGUAAUGCAUCGGAACGUACCCAGAGGUGGGGGAUAACGCAGCGAAAGCUGUGCUAAUACCGCAUGUGAUCUGAGGAUGAAAGCGGGGGACCGAGCAGCAAUGUUUGGCCUCGCGCCUUUGGAGCGGCCGAUGUCGGAUUAGCUAGUUGGUGGGGUAAAGGCCUACCAAGGCGACGAUCCGUAGCUGGUCUGAGAGGACGACCAGCCACACUGGGACUGAGACACGGCCCAGACUCCUACGGGAGGCAGCAGUGGGGAAUUUUGGACAAUGGGCGCAAGCCUGAUCCAGCAAUGCCGCGUGCGGGAAGAAGGCCUUCGGGUUGUAAACCGCGUUUGGCAGGAACGAAACGGUGUCCGCUAAUACCGGGCGCUAAUGACGGUACCUUCAGAAUAAGCACCGGCUAACUACGUG